rnacentral:lncRNA from 1 species
GACCUUUACGCCAAACUCCGGCGCGCCGCGAGACUCGCGUCCUCGCUGUCCCCGAGGGGCCCCACCCCUUCCCGGUUCUAACCUGCGACCUGGCCAGAGGCAAGGGUAGGUCGACUUCCUGCCCGGAAUUUGCCGUUGGCUUCUCCUUCUCUACUCCAGUUCUUUAGUGCAGGGCUGUGCGGCGCGGAGCCGCCAGCGGCAGAACAGACCCCGGAGCGGAGCUCUGGGAUACACACACGCGCAGCCCGGAGGGACUGACCCCGGAGGCGCGCUCGGCCGGGAGAGGGAGGGGACCAGGGCCAGCGCGGAGGCGGGGGUCACCUGGGGUUGGGGGUGGGCGCACCAGCCCUCCGCACGCUCCUCUCUUUCUAGUCCUCGCCGCCACCACCUCGCACAGUGAAUGGGAAGAUGGAGAUGGAUGUUGAGGGAGUUUCUCCGCGCCCGGAGCCCAUCCCCCGCUCCCAGGGGGCUGGCGGAGCCUGCCAGGCGCCGCCACAGCCGCCCCAGCCCCAGCCGCCGCCUCAGCAGCUGGCUCAGGAUGAACUGCCCGGCGAGAGUGCAGGCGCUGAGGACAGCGACGAUCCCGAGACGAGACCCAACGGCGAGAAAGGAGAGAGCAAGUAUUUCAGUGACAUCAUCCACUCAGGAGAGUUGGGGCGAGGCUGGCUGAGGUUCUCAAGGAGCUGAGUUUUGAGUUCAGGUGCUCGUGUAGCAGUGGAAUGAUGCCUCCUGACCUUUCAGACCUUUGAGACCUCUGGGCGGUCUUAGAAAUCACUUCAAGCCUCCAGUCCAGGAUACGACUGCCUAGGGGAAUUCCAGGGAAAGGUGGCAGAGAUGCCAUGGACUACAAGGUGAUGAAUACCACUAUGAGCUCACUACAAGAUCUCAAAGAUUUCAAGCCACUGGCUGUUACAAAGCAUAAAGCCACCCUUCUGGAGCAGCGGCGGGAGGCAGGCUGGGAGGAGGCCCCAAGUUUUGGCCAGACGAUAGACCACCUCCUUAGGUGUCCGGGGAGCUGCUGAAACAUAAUGAGGAAGAUGCUGCUGAUCCAAAGGAUAAAAACACAGAAACUAGAACCAAGAAGCACCUAAAGUGGACUCAUGCCCAGCAUCCCUGCAGACUGACUUUCUCUGAGCUAUAGUUCUGCAUUGGACUGUUUUUCCUUUGCUAUCACCUGCCCAACACACAAUCCUGGAUGCUUUUGAUUGGUUGGAUUUCUUUUUUUUUUUUCCUGCCUUUUCUUUUUCUUUCCUUGACCCUGGGAAUUAUAAACGAGAAAUUGCUUUAAAAAGUAUUGUUCUGUGCUAAAAUUAGCCUUGUUUAUGAACAAGUUUUAUCCCUAGGGAUUUCCUGAAUUGCAAUCCCAGAUUACCUUGUAAAUGGGGCUGUGUUGUUUGAUUUGUAUAGUACUGAUCUGUAGGUUAAAAUACGUUUCCUUUCUUUUGUUUCAUUCUUUUUUUAAAAGUCUGGAUCCAGGUAAUGGCCUGAGUCACAUUUGCUUAGCUACUGAAGCGAUCUCAAUAUGUUAUCGCUUAGAGUUGAAACAUAAUCAAACAUACGUUAUACCUGGGGCUCUUGCACACUAUUUGAUAUAUAUAUGUUACUCUACAAAGAAACACAAACCUUGUAUGUUGAAAUGUAAUUCCUGUUUGAUCCUGCAGCUAGAAUGCUAAAGAAAUUGCAAAUAUCAAAAGUGACUUCAAAUACCCUGAAUAUAAGCUAGUCAACAGUAAGUGGAUGGUUCCAGAAUACCAUAUUCUAAGACAAAGCAGGAAUUAGAGAUCAACUGACCUCAUCCAUAAUGUUGCUCAGGUCUGUCUGUGGAUCUGUCCAUUUUGGAGUAAAAAACAAGGCAUGCUUCUGUGAUUGUGUUUAUGAAAACUGUAGUAUUUCAGAUUUAUGUUUUGCAAUUGUGCCUGCCUUGCAAUAAAACACCUUCAGUUGACUCAGCAAUAAGGUCUCUGUCAAUUUCCUGCAAAACUGUGUCCUUAUUGGCUUUCUAAAAAAGUCCAGUGUAGACCUAUCAGUGGUGACCUGCUAGACAUUUCAGCUGGAUCUAGCAUUAUUGCUCUUUCAGAAAUAGCACUAGAGCUGUCCAUUGUCUACACAUGGGGUCAGAGUUGUAUGGUCAGAUUCUCAAUUCUUCAUAUUACCAUCAGCUACAGAAAUCUCUAGUCACAGCCUAACCCUGUUACAUAUAUGUGCUGCCAUCUGCCAUUGUGUUCUAACUCUGGAGUCCCUAUUUAUUUCUGAGAUUUUAGGACAAGACAAAAAUCCUCUGGACCUCAGUGUCCUCAUAUACAAAAUGGGAAUAAUGAUACUUCCUAUGAUUGUGGUGAUAAGUGCCUGUAAAAGGACAUCACAUGGAUGGUACUUUGCACGUUGUAAAUUCAUUGGGAUGUGGCAAUGUUCAAUAAAUGGUGGUUAUUUUAUUUGUUAAUAAAGAAUUGAAUGAAUUUCUAAA